rnacentral:rRNA from 1 species
CCUACGGGAGGCAGCAGUGAGGAAUAUUGGUCAAUGGGCGGGAGCCUGAACCAGCCAUGCCGCGUGAAGGCGAGUGCCCUACGGGCGUUAAACUUCUUUUGUGCGGGAGCAAUAAGGGCCACGCGUGGCCCGAUGAGAGUACCGCACGAAUAAGCAUCGGCUAACUCCGUGCCAGCAGCCGCGGUAAUACGGGGGAUGCGAGCGUUGUCCGGAAUUACUGGGUGUAAAGGGAGCGUAGGCGGGGAUGCAAGUUGGGUGUUAAAUCUACCGGCUCAACUGGUAGUCGCACUCAAAACUGCAGCUCUUGAGUGAAGUAGAGGUAGGCGGAAUUCGUGGUGUAGCGGUGAAAUGCGUAGAUAUUAGGAGGAACACCGGUGGCGAAGGCGGCCUGCUGGGCUUUUACUGACGCUGAGGCUCGAAAGUGUGGGGAGCAAACAGGAUUAGAUACCCCAGUAGUC